rnacentral:rRNA from 1 species
GGGAUUCACCUUCGGGUGAUGAGAGCGGCGCACGGGUGCGUAACGCGUAUGCAACCUGCCUUGUACAGGGGGAUAGCCCAUGGAAACGUGGAUUAAUACCCCAUAGCAUUGUUGAAUCGCAUGGUUUAACAAUUAAAACUGAGGUGGUACAAGAUGGGCAUGCGUAGGAUUAGCUAGUAGGUGAGGUAACGGCUCACCUAGGCAACGAUCCUUAGGGGUUCUGAGAGGAUUACCCCCCACACUGGUACUGAGACACGGACCAGACUCCUACGGGAGGCAGCAGUGAGGAAUAUUGGUCAAUGGGCGAGAGCCUGAACCAGCCAUCCCGCGUGCAGGAUGACGGCCCUACGGGUUGUAAACUGCUUUUCUACUCCAAGAAACCACCCUACGUGUAGGGUGUUGCCGGUAGAGUAGGAAUAAGCAUCGGCUAACUCCGUGCCAGCAGCCGCGGUAAUACGGAGGAUGCAAGCGUUAUCCGGAUUCAUUGGGUUUAAAGGGUGCGCAGGCGGGUUUGUAAGUCAGUGGUGAAAUUCUGCAGCUUAACUGUAGAACUGCCAUUGAUACUGCAAGUCUUGAAUAUGGUUGAGGUAGGCGGAAUGUGUUGUGUAGCGGUGAAAUGC